rnacentral:lncRNA from 1 species
CUUUGUUUUCAGAAGGGCUUGAUCAAUAUUUUCUGUUACCCAAGUGUCAUAUCUCAGCCACUGAAAAGUUUUUAAAGUGGUUUAUUACUUGUAGUAUUUUGUUCCUUGAGGAGGUUGUGUGGAUAAUAUUACUUGAGCUUCAUUUUGGGUGAUUUAUAUUCACCAGUUUGUCUCCUCCUGGGUGAACACUGUCUAAUUCCACGAAGUCGUCAAGCCAGUUUAGGCCACUUUCCUUAGAGCUUCAAAUACUUUAGCCGUUUACUCUGAGCUGCCUGCUGUGAACCUUGUUUCUUGUUUGUCAUCUCUGUGAGGAUGGAUGCCACGUCGACCAUUCUCAUCAUUCUUGUGUAUACUUCCCUGAGCUCCCCUCCCUUAAAGGCAUAAGUAGUGCAAGCUGACUCCGAGCACAUCCAGGAAUGCGCUUACUGAUGAGAUAUCGAGGCAAGCUAAAUCAGCAGUUCCUGAGGACGCGCUUGGGGGAUGGCACCCAAAGCCCCUGCAUUAUCUCUUUGUGAUAGUUUGAGCCCCUGCACCUGGAACUGUUUACUUUUCUGUAACUGUUUCUGUAACCAAUUAAUCUUUCUUAAUUGGUUUGCCUGUUCUGCUUCUGUAAAAAUUGCUUCAGCUAAACUCCCUCUCCCCUAUUUAGACCACGAUAUAAAAAGAAAUCUAGCCCCUUCUUCGGGGCCGAGAGAAUUUUGAGCUCUAGCCGUCUUGUUCGCCG